CACUUUGUCUUUAUGGCAAAUGUGAGAUGCAGUGUAUGGAGUGUCGAAUACCUAGUAUGAGAAAUUAACGAUUUAAGUCCUUCUUAAAUGAGGCCAUUUACCCAAAGAGGGUGCCAGGCCCGUAUAACGUUAAUGAUUACUAGACGGCAUUUCCAAAGAGUCGUGUUGCUUGAUAGUGCAGCACUAAGUGGGUGGUAAACUCCAUCUAAAACUAAAUAUAACCAUGAGACCGAUAGUAAACAAGUACCGUGAGGGAAAGUUGAAAAGAACUCUGAAUAGAGAGUUAAAUAGUACGUGAAACUGCUUAGAGGUUAAGCCCGAUGAACCUGAAUAUCCAUUAUAGAAAAUUCAUCAUUAUGAUUUUAAUAUUUGUAAUAUUAUAAUAAUGGUGUGCAUUUUUUCUAUAUAAGGACAUUGUAAUCUAUUAACAUUAUAAAUAUUUAUCAAAAGAUCAUUUGCGAAGGUUUAAUCAAAUUAUUUUGCUUGCAAUUUAACAUAGGUUAAAUGCUUAUGAUUUGAUAAAGUGUUGAUAGAUUUAUUAUAUAUAGUGCUUGAAUAUUUAUAUUCUAUAAUAGCAUAUUAAUUUAUAAUUUUUAUGUUUAUUAUAUGCACUUAUAUGAUUAACAAUGCGAAAGAUUCAGGAUACCUUCGGGACCCGUCUUGAAACACGGACCAAGGAGUCUAACAUAUUUGCAAGUUAUUGGGAAUUAAAACCUAAUAGCGAAAUAAACAUAACUUUAAUAUAAUGGGAUUAGUUUUUAGCCUAUUUAUAGUCUAUUAAUUCAAUCCCGGGGCGUUCUAUAUGGUUAUGUAUAAUAGUAUUUAUAUUAUUUAUACCUCUAACCAGAACGUACCUUGAGCAUAUAUGCUGUGACCCGAAAGAUGGUGAACUAUACUUGAUCAGGUUGAAGUCAGGGGAAACCCUGAUGGAAGACCGAAACAGUUCUGACGUGCAAAUCGAUUGUCAGAAUUGCAGUAUAGG
rnacentral:rRNA from 1 species